rnacentral:rRNA from 1 species
GAUGAACGCUGGCGGCGUGCCUAAUACAUGCAAGUCGAGCGAACGGACGAGAAGCUUGCUUCUCUGAUGUUAGCGGCGGACGGGUGAGUAACACGUGGAUAACCUACCUAUAAGACUGGGAUAACUUCGGGAAACCGGAGCUAAUACCGGAUAAUAUUUUGAACCGCAUGGUUCAAAAGUGAAAGACGGUCUUGCUGUCACUUAUAGAUGGAUCCGCGCUGCAUUAGCUAGUUGGUAAGGUAACGGCUUACCAAGGCAACGAUGCAUAGCCGACCUGAGAGAGUGAUCGGCCACACGGGAACUGAGACGCGGUCCAGACUCCUACGGGAGGCAGCAGUAGGGAAUCUGCCGCAAUGGGCGAGAGCCUGACGGAGCAACGGCGCGUGAGUGAUGAAGGUCUUCGGAUCGGAAAACUCUGUUAUUAGGGAAGAACAUAUGUGUAAGUAACUGUGCACAGCUUGACGGUACCUAAUCAGAAAGCCACGGCUAACUACGUG